rnacentral:rRNA from 1 species
UACGUAGGGGGCAAGCGUUGUCCGGAUUUAUUGGGCGUAAAGAGCGUGUAGGCGGCCAGAUAAGUCCGCUCUGAAAGCCCGGGGCUCAACCCCGGGAGGCGGGCGGAUACUGUCGGGCUAGAGUCCGGAAGAGGCAAGUGGAAUUCCUGGUGUAGCGGUGAAAUGCGCAGAUAUCAGGAGGAACACCGAUGGCGAAGGCAGCUUGCUGGGACGGUACUGACGCUGAGACGCGAAAGCGUGGGGAGCAAACAGG